rnacentral:lncRNA from 1 species
AUUAUGCACAUGGUGCUAUUAAAGUUUUGAUAAAAAAAAUGUGUGUUGACUUAAAUGGGUCACCAUCAUGUCCUGUGGCGAGAGGUCAAGUAGGUCGAGUUACAUUCGAAAUGGUACAAGGCCGGGUUGGGCCAAGUCAUAUUCGAAGUGGCGUAAGGCUGGAUGGACUGAGUCACAAUCGAGAUCUAUAAAUGCUGUAUCUGUUUGUUUUAAAUGAAUUGGGUACGUAGUUGUAACAGUUCGAGUUUUUGGAAUUAAUGAUUAGUGUUAACGAUCCGCCAAUAUGGAGCUUACUUGAACUAUAGAUCAUUUUGAAUCAAUUAUCCAAUCUCCUAAAAUUUUGAAUUUAUUAUAUGUCCUUUUAAUUU